UGGGGAAUAUUGGACAAUGGGCGAAAGCCUGAUCCAGCCAUGCCGCGUGUGUGAAGAAGGUCUUCGGAUUGUAAAGCACUUUAAGUUGGGAGGAAGGGCAGUAAGCGAAUACCUUGCUGUUUUGACGUUACCGACAGAAUAAGCACCGGCUAACUCUGUGCCAGCAGCCGCGGUAAUACAGAGGGUGCAAGCGUUAAUCGGAAUUACUGGGCGUAAAGCGCGCGUAGGUGGUUCGUUAAGUUGAAUGUGAAAGCCCCGGGCUCAACCUGGGAACUGCAACAAAAACUGGCGAGCUAGAGUAGGGCAGAGGGUGGUGGAAUUUCCUGUGUAGCGGUGAAAUGCGUAGAUAUAGGAAGGAACACCAGUGGCGAAGGCGACCAACUGGGCUCAUACUGACACUGAAGUGCGAAAGCGUGGGGAGCAAACAGG
rnacentral:rRNA from 1 species